CUGGGUUGAUAGGCCGGAUCUGGAAGCACGGUAACGUGUGGAGGUGACCGGUACUAAUAGGCCGAGGGCUUGUCCUC
rfam:Streptomyces sp. MMG1533 P407contig26.1, whole genome shotgun sequence.